UGGGUAGUCCGCACGAGCGCACCUUGUCAUUAGUUGCUACGAAAGGGCACUCUAAUGAGACUGCCGGUGACAAACCGGAGGAAGGUGGGGAUGACGUCAAGUCCUCAUGGCCCUUAUGGGUAGGGCUUCACACGUCAUACAAUGGUCGGUACAGAGGGUUGCCAAGCCGCGAGGUGGAGCCAAUCCCAGAAAACCGAUCGUAGUCCGGAUCGCAGUCUGCAACUCGACUGCGUGAAGUCGGAAUCGCUAGUAAUCGCGGAUCAGAAUGCCGCGGUGAAUACGUUCCCGGGUCUUGUACACACCGCCCGUCACACCAUGGGAGUGGGUUCUACCAGAAGUGGCUAGUCUAACCGCAAGGAGGACGGUCACCACGGUAGGAUUCAUGACUGGGGUGAAGUCGUAACAAGGUAGCCGUAUCGGAAGGUGCGGCUGGAUCACCUCCUUUCU
rnacentral:rRNA from 1 species